GUGGUGAGUUGAAGAGAUAACCCUUUCUAAAUUGCCAGCAUUCCAAAGAGUCACAGGUUUGAGGCCAAAGGCACUCCUAAACAAGAAAGGUCAAGUGUGGUCACUCACCCAAGAAGCAGAGCAGGGCAAGCCACUUGCCCCCAAUUAGAGACAGUCCCUUCAUGUGAAAUGCCAAGAAGCCUGCUUUUGAUUUGUGGCAGCCUAUAACCUGGCCAUUGCUCGAGGUCUGAGUCUUAAUAUAUUUUCUCCACUUUCCAAGUGUAUACUUAUUUAAAUUUUAGAAUCAUCUGGUUAUAAAGUCCUAGGGGUUUUGAAGAAUAAAACAACAGGUCAGCUUGAAGUUAAAGAAGAUAAAUGAACACAGACCAUGGGAACAAGGGCUGAUGCCUGCUGGAAACUCAGCUAACCUGGUGUGGCAGAGGUACUGGCUGAUUGCUUGAAGCAGCUGAGUCUGCAUUAAAACUGGACACACCUGGAAAUGAUCAUUUUGCAGUUUGCUUGGCCUCUUCCCUACGGGUAGACCUCACAGCCUUGUCUUAUGUAAACAACAAACUCACACAUUUCUGGCCAAAGAGGUUGAACAAACUGGCCUAGCACAUUCAUGACAAGGACUUCACGGUCAGGAACAGAUCACCAAGUACAGAAGGAACAUGCUAGACAGGGAGACAAGUUCAUCACCCACAGUCAGUCUCUCCUAGUGUGCCUCUGGCCAAAUACACUAUGACAAUAGACAUGCUGCUUCACCCGAGUCCCUCUUAAGGCAGACCAGCAGCUCCCCAGUGCCCCAAUGGCCCAUACAGGACUAUCUCCAAGCAGCUAGCAGACAGUGGUCACUGGUUGAGCAGACAAGAGCUUGGUCUCAGGGGUCCUAAGUCUAGAGCCUGGAAUGAGGGCGAGGAGUCAUGUUCCUGAUCUCCUUUGCCAUCCUAUGUAGGGAAUGUUGAAGGUCACUUUCAUCAGACCCACAGAGAUAACCAUCCCUUUUAUAAAGACUGAGUCCAAUGGCCUCCUGGCACACACCCUGGCAGGCAGGUUUGUUUGAAAUUUUUGAGAAAAUAAAUAAGCAAAAGCAAGCAAACCAAAGAAAUAAAACCAAAACGACUGACUUCUCCAGCUGACAGGGCAUUUCCUAUACUUGCCUCCAGGAGCUCUGCGCCUGAGCCCAGCUGCCUCCUCACUGGACGACUAUCCAUGUCCCAAGCUACCUCUGUCAUGAGAAGCCCUGCUUCUCUCUACUCUAAACCACCUUACGGUAAAGGCAAGACAAUCAAGCAGUACAAUCAGUAGCCAACCCUACUGGUAUGAUGACCCCAACAUCGCUGAGUAAGCCCAAGACACAGAAGGUCAGCCCCUUCAGCAUGGUCCCUUUGGCAACUAGAGGAAAGAACACGGAUGUCAUGGUUUUAAGACUCAAGCAACGUGAUGUACGCUAGUGGGUAGAGCACAGGUGAGGGACAUUCAGAUACGGUCCCACUCCAUUCAUGACUGAACCUGACUGUGGCGCUGGCUCAGGAAUGUUUUGCCUGGCACAGUGGUGGGCAUCUGACAUUUCAGGAUUUGGGGACUAGUUACAGUCAAGGCAGUGACAUGGUUUCUGUGACUGUCCUUUGAUGAAGAAAGUAGGGUAAGGGUUGCACAAGCGAGGAAUCAUUUUACUUACAGAAACCACUUGUGCGAAUUUAAAUAAAGGGAUAUUUAUUCUAAAGGUCUGGAUUAAGAGGAUCCAAGGAGAAGGUGACCAAGCAGACCCUGGAGCUGGGCCCAUUUGGAGACCCCUGCAGCAAGCGUGCCUGGACCAUCACUCUAGCGCCUGCGCAUUGAUCCCAGUCAGCAGCCUGAUUACUUCGUCUUCAUUUUCCAAGAGAGGAAAUCUGAUUGGCUUCUGGCCAGUCAGAAUUGGUCCCUUUUUGGUCAAUGAGAUUGGGAUAGAGAGGGGACAUGAUGAAAGGACUCCCCUUGUCUGAUUAGAGUAAAUGUAAGUCCUCUGGGAAGAGAGUGCAGGGACAGGAGGAGACUGGUGGGCAGUUCUGCCGCAGAAGUCCCCUCCUAUUUCACCCCUUAGCGACGGGGCAGGAUUCUUCUUUGCAUCCCAGCAUUAUGACUCAGAAGAGUAGACCUGGAGCAGAGAAAACCCUUCCAACCUGGCCAUCAAGGCUGAUUGAAGGGAAACAAGGUACCUUCAGGUCAAUGCUGGGAAGGAGUGAAGAUGUUGUAGUCCCUCAGAAGGUCAAAGCCUGUGCCUAAUUCAAGGAUGAAGGCAGUGCCUUCACCAGCUAAAGUAAGCGUGGUUGACAUCUCUGGUAAGAAAGCCAUCAUGACCUCCCCAAGAGGGCAGGAAUGUCACCUGCCAAGAAGCAGGGGGCCCCAGCCAUGCAGCAGCCACCCCAAAGCCACUGCAGGCAGAGGAGAAGCCCUGCCUGGCCAGAGGGAGCCGGCAGCCAAGGAGGCGAUGAAUGUGAGAAAGGCCAAGGCAGAUCCUGCAAAGAGCAGAGCAAGGAGGAGGAGCCAGAGGACUGAGACUUAGAGGACGGACAGUGGGGAGGAAGUGGCAGAUGACCACUUCCUUCUGGAGCCAGAGGGACCAGAAUUGUUGCUGGGAAUGUGGCCAGUGAGGAAUCUGGAUGCUGAAAAAUUCUGCAAAGAUGGCCAAGUUUCUCCUCAAGAGGGGAAGAAGCAGUAGGAGUCUGUUGGCAAAGCACUCCAUAUUGCUGAGCAGCAAGUAAACCAGCAAGCAUGGCGCUUCCAGCUGCACACCGUCUCCUCUGAGACCCAGCUACAGCCAUCCAACUGAAUGACUUCUUGCCUUUUGGCCUUCAGAGUGCAUGUGUGCCCGUGCGUGUGCACGGGUGUGCUUGGCAUCAUGUGUGCAUCUCUAGACAAUGAGGAGUGUGGAGGGACAGGUGAAGGAUCAAGGCAGGAGGUACAGCCAACUCAAGAAAUGAGGCAGGAGAACAAUGCACAGUUCCCCUUCUCACUGUGCACGUUGACCUAUUUGUCACAGGCUGAAAAGAGCUGGGAACAUGGUGGAAGGCUCUUACUUGUAAAUGUCGUUCAGACUUUUGAAUGGAUCUUUUAAGAUCAGGAAAUGGGAUCCAUAGUUUACAGGCUUUGUUAGCAGCCAAUUUGUUCUACUUGAUCCAGAGCAUUUAGGCAACGCUACCAAAGAAUCUCCUACCAAUGAGUUGUGAGUGUUCUUGUCAAUAUUUUACACAUUAACAAGGAUCCUAGUUAGAAUAUGAAGUUAGACAUGUUUCUUUCAAGGGAACACGUUACAAUGACUGAGGGAUAAAUAUAGAUAUAUAGAUAUGUCUAUAUAUUAAAGAAGGCAACAUAGGACUAAUUAAAUAUUAUUUAUAAUCACUAUAUGAUUUAAUACAUUAAUCUAUUAAUAGUACCAAAAUAAAAUUUUAAUCCUUCAAGUAAUUUGCAAUAAUAUUUAGUAAUUGACAGCAUUCCAUGUAAAGCAGUAAUUUUUUUAAUGAAUCAUGUGUUAGUUAAUUUAAU
rnacentral:lncRNA from 10 species